rnacentral:rRNA from 1 species
CACGUAGGGACCAAGCGUUGUCCGGAUUCAUUGGGCGUAAAGAGCUCGUAGGCGGUUCAGUAAGUCGGGUGUGAAACCUCCAGGCUCAACCUGGAGACGCCACCCGAUACUGUCGUGACUAGAGUCCAGUAGGGGAGCGUGGAAUUCCUGGUGUAGCGGUGAAAUGCGCAGAUAUCAGGAGGAACACCAGCGGCGAAGGCGGCGACCUGGGUCGAUACUGACGCUGAUGCACGAAAGCGUGGGGAGCAAACAGG